CAUCUGUUUUCUUUUACAUGAACACUGAAUGACGGAUCAGUCGGAAUGUGCUUCACACACGCCGAACAGCUGCAGACGAGACUCGACGCCAUCCAGAAUGCAGCUUCCUGAUGAUGUAACAGAUACAAAGCUAAGCAAAAGUGAUUUGGGUGAGCCAAAGGAGAUUCAGACAGACCCUCUGGGGCUUUUGUGGGUACAGCAAAUUGCAAGAUAAUGACUGGUGCAUCACAUGGGAGAGUUGAAAUAUCACAUGGGAUUCCUUAAUGACAUCAUCCUACUGGAAGUGACAUCAUUUUGGAGGGAAAACAACAGCACAUAUAUCAG